rnacentral:rRNA from 1 species
CCUACGGGUGGCUGCAGUGGGGGAUAUUGCACAAUGGGGGAAACCCUGAUGCAGCGACGCCGCGUGUGGGAAGACGGUCCUCUGGAUUGUAAACCACUGUCCCCAGGGACGAAAAUGACGGUACCUGGGGCGGCCGCUCCGGCUAACUACGUGCCAGCAGCCGCGGUAAUACGUAGGGAGCGAGCGUUGUCCGGAAUUACUGGGUGAAAAGGGAGCGUAGGCGGGGAUGCAAGUUGGGUGUCAAAACUACCGGCUCAACUGGUAGUCGCACUCAAAACUGCAGCUCUUGAGUGAAGUAGAGGCAGGCGGAAUUCCUAGUGUAGCGGUGAAAUGCGUGGAUAUUAGGAGGAACACCAGUGGCGAAGGCGGCCUGCUGGGCUGUGACUGACGCUGAGGCUCGAAAGUGUGGGGAGCAAACAGGAUUAGAUACCCCAGUAGUC